rnacentral:lncRNA from 1 species
UCUCAGUGCCAAGUGAAUACAGAGCUCAGGGGUCAGUCCUGGGGGAUGAAAGGUUGGAAGAGGAUGUUGGCAAAAAGGGAUGGUAAGCAGAGAGUGAAAUCUUCAGCACACGACCUUUCUAUUAAGUGAAUAAUUAUUACCUCUGCUUCCCACCCAUGCAAUAAGCCACAGGAGUCACUGUAAGAGUAUCUAGCGUGAACACAGAAUAUAUCGGAAUAGCUGAUUUGGAUUGAGAUGAAGAGACUGAAGUAACAAGAUCGGGGAAGACAGGUUGGGAUAAGAGUGUGCCACAGGUUCAAGGCUUCUGGCACUAGGGACACAACGAGGAGUACAAGGAAGGAUACCAGCAUUUUGAUUGAAAGUAAAAAGGAUAUGUGCCAGAAGUACCUGUUUAUCCCAGUCUCUUCUGAACUAGUGUCUACAGGAAUGUUGUUAAGCGUCCAGAGUGGCAGCAUGGCCAUGACUGGUAAGGGGUAGGACCUAGGCACAGCGUACUCCCUCAUCCCACCGCCUUCACUUUGGUUUCUUCUUGCGACACAGUUCAG